rnacentral:rRNA from 1 species
UACGUAGGUGGCGAGCGUUGUCCGGAUUUACUGGGCGUAAAGGGCGCGUAGGCGGCGUGUUAAGUCAGCUGUGAAAUCUCCAAGCUUAACUUGGAACGGUCAGCUGAUACUGAUGUGCUAGAGUGCAGAAAGGGCAAUCGGAAUUCCAGGUGUAGCGGUGAAAUGCGUAGAUAUCUGGAGGAACACCGGUGGCGAAGGCGGCGUUCUGGACUGCAACUGACACUGAAAAACGAAAGCCAGGGGAGCAAACGGG